GUUUAGAGGUUAGGUUUUCUUAGGCCUCAUCUGCUACUACUGAUGCAUCCAGUUCAGAAGAACAAGUUUUGAUAUGGAUUAUUACUUUAAAAAUCCAUCUAUGGCCAUAUAAAAAGAAGCACAAGUUGAGUCCCAGAGAAAUCACAGAGUUCUAAAGAAAUAAGCAGAUGUCACUGAUACGCAACCUCCAGGGGUCUUUGAAAGAUGAAGAGAAUGGGAGAGAUGUACUGAAGGACUGGAAAAUAUCAAUGUUCAUUAUUUCAGCAUUUAACAACAGGAAAAAGAAAAACUACUCGGGAAUAAGCAUCCUACUUUUAACAGGAAGGAAACCUAUUUCAUUUUUAAGAUCUGCUGUUGCAUCCUGACAUCACCAUUUGUUGGCCUUGUCACUCACAGAACAUGGAUUGUGGAGCAGAUGUGAUACCAACUAUCAAACUACUGCAAUAAUCUGGAAGAGGUAUAAGGGCUUAAACUACAGGUGUCUUCUUUCCAAGCUUCACUAUUUCUGCCAGUCACUACCAUUCUUCAGUUUCCCAUGUCAUGGCUCUGAUGCUAUUUUUGACCUCUUGCUCUCUGAAUAUACAUACACCCAGUUGAUGUCUUGCCAUUUCUACUUCCACAACAUCUCUUAAAUCCAACCCAUUCUCUCUAUACUGACCACCUUAGUCACCUCUCACUUUGACUAUUGUAAUGACCUCCUCAUUGGCCUCUCUGCCUCAAAUCCCUCCUUACUUCCACUUAUUCUCUAUACAGGGGCCUAAGUGACUUCUUUAAGUGGAGAUCAUUUCACCCCUCUACUCAAUAAA